GCUUAACACAUGCAAGUUGAGGGGCAGCAUGGUCUUAGCUUGCUAAGGCCGAUGGCGACCGGCGCACGGGUGAGUAACACGUAUCCAACCUGCCGUCUACUCUUGGACAGCCUUCUGAAAGGAAGAUUAAUACAAGAUGGCAUCAUGAGUCCGCAUGUUCACAUGAUUAAAGGUAUUCCGGUAGACGAUGGGGAUGCGUUCCAUUAGAUAGUAGGCGGGGUAACGGCCCACCUAGUCUUCGAUGGAUAGGGGUUCUGAGAGGAAGGUCCCCCACAUUGGAACUGAGACACGGUCCAAACUCCUACGGGAGGCAGCAGUGAGGAAUAUUGGUCAAUGGGCGAGAGCCUGAACCAGCCAAGUAGCGUGAAGGAUGACUGCCCUAUGGGUUGUAAACUUCUUUUAUAAAGGAAUAAAGUCGGGUAUGGAUACCCGUUUGCAUGUACUUUAUGAAUAAGGAUCGGCUAACUCCGUGCCAGCAGCCGCGGUAAUACGGAGGAUCCGAGCGUUAUCCGGAUUUAUUGGGUUUAAAGGGAGCGUAGAUGGAUGUUUAAGUCAGUUGUGAAAGUUUGCGGCUCAACCGUAAAAUUGCAGUUGAUACUGGAUAUCUUGAGUGCAGUUGAGGCAGGCGGAAUUCGUGGUGUAGCGGUGAAAUGCUUAGAUAUCACGAAGAACUCCGAUUGCGAAGGCAGCCUGCUAAGCUGCAACUGACAUUGAGGCUCGAAAGUGUGGGUAUCAAACAGGAUUAGAUACCCUGGUAGUCCACACGGUAAACGAUGAAUACUCGCUGUUUGCGAUAUACAGCAAGCGGCCAAGCGAAAGCGUUAAGUAUUCCACCUGGGGAGUACGCCGGCAACGGUGAAACUCAAAGGAAUUGACGGGGGCCCGCACAAGCGGAGGAACAUGUGGUCUAAUUCGAUGAUACGCGAGGAACCUUACCCGGGCUUAAAUUGCAGAUGAAUUACGGUGAAAGCCGUAAGCCGCAAGGCAUCUGUGAAGGUGCUGCAUGGUUGUCGUCAGCUCGUGCCGUGAGGUGUCGGCUUAAGUGCCAUAACGAGCGCAACCCUUGUUGUCAGUUACUAACAGGUUCCGCUGAGGACUCUGACAAGACUGCCAUCGUAAGAUGUGAGGAAGGUGGGGAUGACGUCAAAUCAGCACGGCCCUUACGUCCGGGGCUACACACGUGUUACAAUGGGGGGUACAGAGGGCCGCUACCACGCGAGUGGAUGCCAAUCCCCAAAACCUCUCUCAGUUCGGACUGGAGUCUGCAACCCGACUCCACGAAGCUGGAUUCGCUAGUAAUCGCGCAUCAGCCACGGCGCGGUGAAUACGUUCCCGGGCCUUGUACACACCGCCCGUCAAGCCAUGGGAGCCGGGGGUACCUGAAGUGCGUAACCGCGAGGAGCGCCCUAGGGUAAAACUGGUGACUGGGGC
rnacentral:rRNA from 1 species